CUUCCUCCUGCGCUCUGAUCGCUUCCGCUCUGUGUCCGCCCGGUUCUGUCCUGGUCGCCGUUUCUGAUGCCAACAACGUCCGAAUCUGAGUGUCAUUUAAAAAAAAUGUCCGGGUCAGAUCCGCUCCAGCAACCGCUCCGCUCGGGGCUGGCCUGCGGGGCCACCUACCUGCCAGGUUCUGCAGCCGACGGCGCGGGGGGCGACCUGAGGUCCUUUUCCUGGAACUCGAGGUGGGAAGUGGCUGGAAGACGUGGGAAAUGUGUGUGUGAAAAGCUGAAAUGCCCGUUAAUUUCCCCCCUGCGCACCCCCCUGCCUUUUAACUUCAGUUUAUUCUAAAUUUAGCAAUAUGUUAGCAUUUCUAAUAUGCUUAUCCUUUUAGCUUUCCUUUAAGAAAUUAUUGAUUUAUCGUAUACGGACAAGGUGAAACUGCUUUCUCCUUCAAACUUUAUUUCCAAGGCGUGGGUGAUUGAUGAACACGCUUUGUAACAGGGAAUGAAUCCCAUGUAGGCGCCCAGAACUUUCUUCCUAAAGGAUCUGUGAGUCUGUUGACAGUUCCCACCGAGGAAAUCAUUGUGUUAUUGCAGGGCCAGAAGGUUUCUUUAGAUGCUGUUUUCUUCACAGUGUUGUUCUUUGAUUUCAUAGAAAUUAAGGUAUAAAAGUUGGAGUAAUCAACCCAAGUGCUAGCUAAGCAUUUCAGCCAGUAUAAUGCUUCUAUUUGCUAAACCGCUUCUGCACAUCACACAGUGGUUUUAAAUUAAUGCUUUUCUACUCUAUUGCUUAAGUAAUGCAGCAGUAAUAAUAAUAAUAAUUUUUUAAAAAUUAAGAAAAGUCAUUCACACACCCACAAGAUCUGUGUGGUGGUCUUAUCUUUUUUAUCUUCCCUUCUAUGUCCUACCAUGUUCUUGUAUUUUUCCCACAACUGUAAAGAAGUGCAGUGUUUUUUUUUACUACACUGUAUCAUCUGAUGUUCAACUAGUUUUAAUUUCUGUUGCUGUAUAAUUUUUUUUGUUAGUGGGACCUUACUUUAGGCUUUUGCCUGUGUUAUAUUUAGAUCGUUCCUAAUGUUUCACCAUUUAAAAUGGCAUUGCGUUGAACAGACUUCUAUGUGGAAAUUUAAAAAACAUUUCCCUUUUCUUUGAAUGGUUCAUUUGCUUUGGGAAAAUCGCCCGGAGUGGGCUUACCUAGAUCAGAGGAUGCGAACACUUCAUUGGCCAAAUUGCUUUUCAAAAAGGAUGUUCCAGCUUCUAUUGCCCCCAGCGGGCAGUGCUUCCAGAUCUCUUUAACGUGGCCCUGGAAUGUUCUGGUAACGUGUGCCUCUCCCGCCCUCGGACUUGUUCAUCGUUUUGCCUAAACCAACAGCCUAGUUUAAAUUCUCUUUUCCAGGAUGUAGAUGGAUCUAAACCCAUUUUCUGGACAUUAAAAUCACCUCAAGGACAUGGGGAAAUUUUUAAGUGAGCAAUUAUAUCUUUGGGUAUUUUACUCAUUACA